AGAACGAACGCUGGCGGCAUGCCUAAUACAUGCAAGUCGAACGAACUCUUCGGAGUUAGUGGCGCACGGGUGCGUAACGCGUGGGAAUCUGCCCUUGGGUUCGGAAUAACAGUUGGAAACGACUGCUAAUACCGGAUGAUGACGUAAGUCCAAAGAUUUAUCGCCCAGGGAUGAGCCCGCGUAGGAUUAGCUAGUUGGUGAGGUAAAGGCUCACCAAGGCGACGAUCCUUAGCUGGUCUGAGAGGAUGAUCAGCCACACUGGGACUGAGACACGGCCCAGACUCCUACGGGAGGCAGCAGUGGGGAAUAUUGGACAAUGGGCGAAAGCCUGAUCAGCAAUGCCGCGUGAGUGAUGAAGGCCUUAGGGUUGUAAAGCUCUUUACCCGGGAUGAUAAUGACAGUACCGGAGAAUAAGCUCCGGCUAACUCCGUGCCAGCAAGCCCGC
rnacentral:rRNA from 1 species